rnacentral:rRNA from 1 species
UAGGGAAUCUUCCGCAAUGGACGCAAGUCUGACGGAGCAACGCCGCGUGAGUGAAGAAGGAUUUCGGUUCGUAAAACUCUGUUGUUAGAGAAGAACAGCGCAUAGAGUAACUGUUAUGCGUGUGACGGUAUCUAACCAGAAAGCCACGGCUAACUACGUGCCAGCAGCCGCGGUAAUACGUAGGUGGCAAGCGUUGUCCGGAUUUAUUGGGCGUAAAGCGAGCGCAGGCGGUCAAUUAAGUCUGAUGUGAAAGCCCCCGGCUCAACCGGGGAGGGUCAUUGGAAACUGGUUGACGUGAGUGCAGAAGAGGAGAGUGGAAUUCCAUGUGUAGCGGUGAAAUGCGUAGAUAUAUGGAGGAACACCAGUGGCGAAGGCGACUCUCUGGUCUGUAACUGACGCUGAGGUUCGAAAGCGUGGGUAGCAAACAGG